UUUGGAAUUUUGGACAAUGGACGAAAGUCUGAUCCAGCGACGCCGCGUGGACGAAGAAGGCCUUCGGGCUGUAAAGUCCUUUUGGCAGGGAAAAAUUUUGAUUGUACCUGCAGAAUAAGAGGUUGCUAACUCUGUGCCAGCAGCAGCGGUAAUACAGAGACCUCAAGCGUUAUCCGGAAUUAUUGGGCGUAAAGCGUACCGACAGGUGGUUUUGAAAGUCAGAGGUGAAAUCACAAAGCUUAACUUUGUGACUGUCCUUUGAAACUUCAAAACUAGAGGGGCAAAGAGGAGACUGGAACAAACGGUGUAGUAGUGAAAUGCGUUGAUAUCGUUUGGAACACCAAUAGCGAAGGCAGGUCUCUGGGUGCCACCUGACACUGCUAGGACGAGAGCGUGGGGAGCGAAUGGGAUUAGAUACCCCUGUAGUCC
rnacentral:rRNA from 1 species